UACGUAGGGACCAAGCGUUGUCCGGAAUCAUUGGGCGUAAAGCGUCUGUAGGUGGUUCCCGAAGUCUACUGUCAAAUCCCAGGGCUCAACCUUGGACAGGCAGUGGAGAACUCGGGGGCUAGAGUACGGUAGGGGUAGAGGGAAUUCCCGGUGAAGCAGUGAAAUGCACAGAGAUCGGGAAGAACACCAGUGGCGAAGGCGCUCUACUAGGCCGUGACUGACACUGAGAGACGAUAGCUAGGGGAGCGAAUAGG
rnacentral:rRNA from 1 species